GACGAAGGUGGCAAGCGUUAUUCGGAUUUACUGGGCAUAAAGCGCGCGUAGGCGGCUUGGCAAGUCGGGGGUGAAAGCCCGCAGCUCAACUGCGGAACUGCCUUCGAUACUGCCGAGCUUGAGGGCGGGAGGGGUGAUUGGAACUCCAGGUGUAGCGGUGAAAUGCGUAGAUAUCUGGAGGAACACCGGAGGCGAAGGCGAAUCACUGGACCGCAUCUGACGCUGAGGCGCGAAAGCUAGGGGAGCAAACAGG
rnacentral:rRNA from 1 species